CUCCCUGUUGGCGGAAAAGGGUAGUGUGUGUGCCAUGUUUGGUGAAGUACGCUGCACUUUUAUCCCCAACAACACCGCCCCCGAUGGAAGUCUGACCAAAACACUAGACAGGCUCAAAGAAUUAAUUAAAGGAGGAUUCAAGGCUUUCUGUCAUGUGUGUGUGUUCCGGGUUUUGUCUUCCCCCCUGUUUCACACACACCUGCUCCUGUGAGCAUCUUCACCACCUGUGCCUCGUUCACCCUAAUUACCUAUUGUAUUUAACCUUGUGUCUCAUUCCCUCUCGUUGCCAGUUCGUUGUACCUUGUCGUCGCGUUCCAGCAUUCCUUGUUUCCACGUCACAAACUUACAAGCCCUGAUUCUGCGACACAUCGACCGUGCGGUGGGGUGACGAGACAAACCUCCGCCCUAUCAGGUGGCGCAGCGCGUUGCCCUCAUGGAUGACCUAGAGGAGGAAGGCCUAACCUGUCGUAGGGAAAGCUGUUGAUGCAGUCAUGGAAAUCCCAGAGGACGAAAAAGUGGAGUCAUCGCUGGAAGAAACUGCACACAGAGCACCCUGUCAGAUGAGGACCAUAAAAGAGAUGACAGGAAGGAAAGCAGCAGGUUUCCACAUUGAAGCGCUGUGUACUGUAGCUGAGUUUCCACCGGGGCCGGUGGCGGAUGUUGUUAACACUGGCCACGACCGAUCCAGUAUGUAAUUCUUUGGAUGUACACUCAUUUGUUUGGCAAAGUUUUAACCCGGAUGCCACUGCUGACGCACCCCUCUGCAUUUAUCCGGGUUUGGGAUGGCCUAUGGUUUGCACUUACUUUAAAACUACAUGCUUUGGUCUUUACACAUUCAUCAUUACGUUUAUGAUGGAGUAAAUUUACUUUAACUUCUGCCAUUUGACUCUUACCUUCAUAUACAUCCAUCCAUUUUAUGGCACACCUGUGCAAUAAUCAUGCUGUCUAAUCAGAAUCUUGAUAUGCCACACCUGUGAGGUGGGAUGGAUUAUCUCGACAAAGGAAAAAUGCUCACUAACACAGAUUUAGACAGAUUUGUGAACAAUAUUUGAGGGAAAUGGCCUUUUGUGUAUGUAGAAAAAGUUUUAGAUCUUGGAGUCCAGCUCACGAAAAAUGGGAGCAAAACCAAAAGUGUUUUUGUUCCGUGUACUUCUAGUUUUAUGUUUAGUUUGACAGUAAACUUCAACUGAAAAUGGCAUUAAACUCGUAUCUCAAGUCUGCGCUCGCAGGUCAAAGAAAGAAAUUGGCCAAACGACGGCUCGUAUCUCAAAAUCUCCGAAAUCGGGUCACUUUUA